GGAGGCUUCACACAGCUGCAAUGAGUCUGGAUAACAGCGAGCUGGGUGCCUGGGCUGCAGAGGUGAAAACCUCACCAUUUAUUUCUGACUCCCUCCUCUGCGGCUCUGGAAACCUCCGUCACUCCCUUUGGCUGGCAUCCCCCUGAUUUAAUGGACUGUGCUUGUCAAGAGUGUAAAUCAAACACUGCAGACAGUCAGGUGGUUUUAGGAGGAAGAUGAAUACGAUCCUGAUCACAGUUUAUGUGCUCUUAUUCUUUGCUCCGUGGUUAAACACCUCUGCACAUCCCUGUAUUUACCUGGAAGAAUCCUGUGGGUGGGCAGUGAUUCUCUAGGUAAGGCAUCAAAAUGCCAAAGGAAUAAAUCCGUGCUGCCACGGGGAAAUUCAGCCUCAACUCAUCAGUCCACUCCUCCGUCUCCUUCAGAUGGGCUCAGGCCACCCUCAUUUUUUUUGUGCAGAUCCUCAUCUGCACUGCUUUAACGAGUAAUUUCCAGCGUGGCAAUUAAUCAGGUGUUUUACUGAAGUCCAGAUAGAUUAGAUUGAUCUCAUUUUUCCCUUCCGAGAAACUAGUUCUUUUAGAGGGGGGAAAAAAAAAUAGGAAAAACCAGUUGGUGAGGAGCACUUAUCUUUCCUUAGAAACCCAGUCUGUAUCUGAACAUUUGUACUUCUCUAUAUUGUAAAAUGCCAUAUUGUAAAAUUCCAUAUUGUAAAUUCCCAUAUUGUAAAUUCCCAUAUUGUAAAUUUCCAAAUUGUAAUUUUCCAUAUUGUAAUUUUCCAUAUAUGGUUCUUCCAUGUGUUUAUGUGAAGGCAAAUUCAAAUAAUCUCUACUGGUACAUAAAUAUGACCACAGGAUCUUGCAGGAAACAUUUUAAGGAAUCCCAACCAAAAUUAUUUUACAUUAACUUCUCAAAAAAAUUUUCAAACCACUGUUUUGUAUCAUUUUAUAUCUCCUGAGAAUUUCUUGCAUUAUUUGUGUACAGUGAUAACCACUGAGUUUUUUAAUUGUGUUUUUUUUCCUGUACAGUUUUUUUCAUAUUUUGCUUUAGCGAUGAUUUAUUUAUUUACUUUUACUGAAGGUUUUAUUUUCCUCUCAGCUCAAGUCACACAGUUUUUAUGGCCCUGCCUUCCCUUCACAUUGUCUCAUGGAUUGCAGAUCAUAUCAGCACAAGGUGAACAGUGAAAUGUGGUUUUUUUUCCAGUAAAGUGUAACCUCUGAAAUGUGUCACUCUUGAACUGUACAAAGGGGUAUCACGUGGGUAGAUCCUAUCUUCAUAUCAAACAUGUUCCUUUAUUAAGUGAUGUGAAAGGCCAAAUGAUGUGUCACAGGUUUUCCUGCUUCCACUGUAGCAAAAAAAAAGAGAAUUUAAUUAAAAUAAACCACAUCAAAACAGUC